rnacentral:rRNA from 1 species
CCUACGGGUGGCAGCAGUGAGGAAUAUUGGUCAAUGGGCGAGAGCCUGAACCAGCCAAGUCGCGUGAAGGAUGACGGCCCUACGGGUUGUAAACUUCUUUUGUCAGGGAGCAAUUGAGCCCACGUGUGGGCUUAGCGAGAGUACCUGAAGAAGAAGCAUCGGCUAAGUCGGUGCCAGCAGCCGCGGUAAUACGGAGGAUGCGAGCGUUAUCCGGAUUUAUUGUGUUUAAAAGGUGCGUAGGCGGAAUAUAAAGUCAGCGGUAAAAAUUUGGGGAUCAACGCUGUAGUGACGUUGAACCUUAUGUUCUUGAGUGGGCGAGAAGUAGGCGGAAUGCGUGGUGUAGCGGUGAAAGGCAUAGAUAUCACGCAGAACUCCGAUUGCGAAGGCAGCAUACCGGCGCCCAACUGACGCUGAAGCACGAAAGCGUGGGUAUCGAACAGGAUUAGAUACCCCUGUAGUC